GAUGAACGCUGGCGGCGUGCCUAAUACAUGCAAGUCGAACGCUGGAGAACUAGCUUGCUAGAUCGAAGGAGUGGCGAACGGGUGAGUAAUACAUAAGCAACCUACCCACGAAGACUGGGGUAAUUUCUGGAAACGGGGACUAAUACCGGAUAGGUAAUCGGAAGGCAUCUUCUGGUUAUUAAAGGUUAAAAUCACUGGUGGAUGGGCUUAUGGCGCAUUAGUUAGUUGGUGAGGUAACGGCCCACCAAGACGAUGGUGCGUAGCCGGCCUGAGAGGGUGAACGGCCACAUUGGGACUGAGACACGGCCCAGACUCCUACGGGAGGCAGCAGUAUGGAAGUUUCGGCAAUGGAGGCAACCCUGACCGAGCAACGCCGCGUGAGUGAAGACGGCCGUCGGGUUGUAAAGCUCUGUUGUAAGGGAAGAACGGUAGAUAGAGAAUAUCUAAGUGACGGUACCUUACCAGAAAGCCACGGCUAACUACGUG
rnacentral:rRNA from 1 species